ensembl:lincRNA
CAGCUACCAGAGUGCAGCUUGCUGUGCCUAGCUCCAGAGGGAAAGUCGGCUGGUGAGAUGGAUCAGAUGUUUGAUGGCACUAACCUAAGAAAAUCUAAGGUUAUAGAAAGUCUUGCUGUCGGGCUUGACAAUGAUAGGCUCUGGUCUCAGUGGGAUGGAAAUACAGCCUGGAAGAAACGGGAAACUUUAAUAUCUGGAUGGAUUCCUUAAACAGAACUGCAGCAUCUCCGAGUCUUGUGCAGCUGGUUAAUGUGAUGGCAUUUAUAGUGAAGAGCCCAUCAAUGCUUCAUGACGGUGCCUCUCUCCCACUGGUGAAUUAUGUACAUUUAUGUGGCGUUAAAGCCCUCAAAUGGCCCCAUGGAGGCGUGGAUCACAGAGAGUUGAGGCUGCCUGAAAAUGCCUUGCAGGUGGCCUCAGCCAGCCCAUGGGGUGAGAUGUUCCUUUCCCUUUCCAAAACACACAGCAAAGUAAAAACCAAAUACCAAUGCUGUUUCUGAAUGUUUAUGUCCCUCCAAAAUUCCUAUGUUGAAAUCCUCCCCUCAAGGGGAUGGUUAGAAGGUGGGGCCUUUGGGAGCCACUUAGGUCAUGAGGAUGAAGCGAAGCCACCUUAGAAAAGAGGCCAGGACGUGGUGGCUCACACCUGUAAUCCCAGCACUUUGGGAGGCUGAGGCGGGCGGAUCACGAGGUCAGGAGUUCAAGACCAUCCUGGCCAACAUGGUGAAAUCCUGUCUCUACUUAAAAAAAUACAAAAAUUAGCUGGGCAUAGUGGCGCAUGCCUGUAAUCCCAGCUACUCAGGAGACUGAGGCAGGAGAAUUGCUUGAACCGGGACCUGGCAGGUAGAGGUUGCAGUGAGCCGAGAUCAUGCCACUGCACUCCAGCCUGGGCUACACAGCAAGACUCCAUCUCAAAAGAAUAAUAAUAAUAAAAAGAGAAAGAAAGAAAACAGGCCCAGGAGAGACCCUCACCCCUUCUGCCCUGUGAGGCUAGAGUGAAAAGUAGUUGUCUAUGUGUGAACAGCAGGCAACUGCAGGUGCCUUGGACUUGGACUUGGACUUCCCAGCCUCCAGAACUGUGAGAAAUAAAUGUCUGUAGUUAUAAACCACCCAGAGUGUGCUGUUUUGCUAUAGCAGCCUGAAGGGGCUAAGACAACCAAUCAUGACAACGGAGAGCAAAGCGACACCCAUCCCGGGAACAUGAUGGAGGGUUUCCAAUUGUGAUGAUUAGAUUGCGG